UGCCAACAUACAUCUCCAGUACAUACCCUAUGCAUACAUACACGUCUUCUUCCUCACGCACGCUCAAGACCAACGCAACCUAUAACACCAACAGCUCUUUCCUACAAAAUCCCCCAAAAUCCGCCGGAUUUCAAGGUCAUUCAUCUCCUUCAAGUCAAUAUGGAGUAGGUAACCCCAUCCGUUUAUCAUCCUUUUUUUCCUACUUUUUUUAAUGUCUGAAAGACUUUUCAAACAAGAUCUUGGAGAAAGAUUUUCCUUUUCCCCUCUUAAACGGCUCCAAUUUGAAAUUCAAAUUUGCUAUUUUCUGCUAUAAAUCAGACACUUAUAUCCAUUGAAAAGGGGGGAGAAAAGGAGGGAGAGAGGGUUUCGGAGAGGUUUUGGAGAGCAUCGACGAAAAGGUUUUGGGAGCUCUUAGUUAAUAGUUUAAAUUUUUUUCUCUUUUCUUGGCUGUCGAGUUUAAAAGGGUGGGAUUAGCUCCGUCAAACUUGUCGUCACAGUUCGCUGCUCCGAAAAAGGUUGUUUGGAUGCUGGUGAUGACAUGCGUUACAUUGGAUCAUUGUUUUCUCACGGAUGUAGUUGACCCCGGUGCAUGCAUCGGUUCUUGGCUUUGAUUUGAGAAAGCUGGAUUGUAACCCAAACUAUUUUAUAUUGAUUUUGUUAAAUGGGGGUCGUACUACCUUCAUUACUACUAUUUUCAAUGGAUGGGAGGCAUCGAGGAUGCGCUCAUAUUUAUGGUAUUGAUUUGAGACAUUGAGGAUGCUCUCAUUUUAUUAUAUUGAUUCGAGGGCAUCGAUGAUGCACUCAUUUUUUGACACUGGCCCGAUUGUAGAGAUUUUUGACCAUUUUUUUAUUGAUUUGAUUAUUUAUCUCCGAUCAUCAUGACGGAACAGAUUUUAUGAUCGGAUACAGAUUGAUAUAAGACCUGGAUCGAUACCAGAUAGGUAUAUAGGGGCAUUUUCGAGCCCUCCAUGGCGAUUCCAUAGAGGUGCAUGACUCCUACUUCUUGGUCGGGAUUGGAAGUAGGUGUAUAUAUCUUGGUAUGAGGUACUUGGUACAAAUGGUAUUACUGGUUUUAUUGCACAACUUUCAUUCAUAGAUGCAUUUCCUAUCACCAGCAUAAUUGCUUGUACUUGUCGGUAGUAUUGGAUGUCGUGCAGGUUUUCCUGUUUGUGAGUGAACUUCCUGGGCACACAGGGGCUUGGGAGGUAUUGUCUUACUAUUUGCGAAGUUGUGGAGGUAUAAAGGGUGGUUUCUUUUUUGAAGGUAGUUAACACUCUUGUUUUUAUUUAUCUAACUUUUUUGCAGGGAUUUAGUUGAUAUGGUCCUUUGGGCCUUUAUGUGAUAUUUGUGGUUACUUCUAUUAGUAGGGUGUUGCUUAGUUGUUCCCCCUUUUGUAGUGUGUCAUCGUGUUUAAGUCUUGGCCUAGCGCUACCAGGUACGUCCUUGCUUGUUUUCUAUUUUCUCUCUCUUUCUUAUAUAUGAUGUUUCUUAUUGUAAAUUUCCAUAUUUUUCCUCUUAGUUACUUGUGAUAUACACUCCUUUCUUACAUGUUCUUUAUACUUUAUUUUUGGAGCUCAGUCGGCCGAUGUCUACUGAGUGCCUUUUAUUGGUACUCAUACUACAGUUCUGCACCUUGCAUAUCAUAGUAUGGGUUUUCACUAGUGAUUUGGAUAUCGUAUGGAGCAGCUCUUGAAUUUUGGAGACUUGGGUGAGAUUUUAGUGUUCGGAGUUGUCUAUUUCCUUCUAUUUUGCGAUUGGACUAUCUUUAAUUGGUAUUUGGAGACAGUCUAUAUUAUUAUUACUAUUAUCGUAUAUGUAUAAACCUUGUACUUCUUUAUUUGGUCUAGUGGCUUGACUACCGACUGAUACCAGGUCUUGAGGGUUAUCUUGUUAUAUUGUUCUCAUUCUUCUUU